rnacentral:rRNA from 1 species
UACGUAGGGGGCGAGCGUUGUCCGGAUUUAUUGGGCGUAAAGAGCUCGUAGGCGGCUUAGCAAGUCGGGUGUGAAAACUCCAGGCUCAACCUGGAGACGCCACUCGAGACUGCUAUGGCUAGAGUCCGGUAGGGGACCACGGAAUUCCUGGUGUAGCGGUGAAAUGCGUAGAUAUCUGGAGGAACACCGGUGGCGAAGGCGGCAUCCUGGACCAACACUGACACUGAGGAGCGAAAGCCAGGGGAGCAAACGGG